AGUAGGUUACAUGCUUUCAUUCUCUUGGAUAUUGGAAGCUCAUCGGCGAGCGCCCUACAGAGGAGAGAACGGAAAAAACUGCAGUUGUCGUCCGAUCCUCAGUUCUCCACAUAAAGCGUUCGAAUCUUCGAGAAAUCUUAUGAGAUAUUGAAACAUCGCGUCUGCUCUCUCUCCAUCAGCGAAUUAGAAUUCCCCACUCGUAUUCGUCCCCCAUUUUGUCACUCUUCUACAGUGGCCUGAAGGAGUCACGGGUGACGAGGUCUCCGACUCCGUCGCAGCAAAAGGCAUCACGAAGAAGGAUGUCACCUAUCAGAUCAGAGUCUUGGGUGUAGGCAAAUUAAAGGGGAGGAGGACAAAGAAGACAUAUGAUGGUGUUCUGGAAAAGGAAGAAACUGGGUGGGAUAGACUGAGGUUCAUCGAGAGCUACAUUUCUUUGAGAUCCGAGGUUGAUAGCUGAGUUAGCAGCAUCAGCAUUCAUUAAGGACACUAUGGCUUCAAUUCAGAAUCGUGUACCAGGAACUUGAGGCAUCCUCCUUCUUUACUCUAGACAUUGCUACGUGCAAGUGUUCAUGUGAGAAAACAAGUCUUGGCAAAUAAAUUCCAACUCUUGACAAUAAUUGGUCUUGGCUCUUAUUUAUUAUCAUUGCAAAUGAUAGGACAAUUGGGAAUUGACAACAUCGCAUAAGAAAUGGUAAUUUUUCCUUUGAGGGAUUUAAAUCCAUGGUGGAUAUAAACUCUCCUUUUUUAAGCAUUUAGUGUUACUUUCUUUUAUAAUGUGGUCACCCAAUAAAGUGACUCUGAUUCUUGUUCCAUUGCAUAGACCAUUUGUUUGGUUUAUAUUUCUCAUUAAUACCAUUGGAAUUCCAACUUUAAGAGUCAACUUGUGUGGAGCGAUUCUUGAACUCUCAAUUGUAUUAAAGAACUCUUUGUUAUAUAUGUCAUAAAAAAGUCAGAAUUUUAGUCAAUUUUACAUAUUGAGUCAGAAUUGAUGUAUAUUACUGGCUCUCUUGGGAAUCUGAAGCAAAUGUAAUUAUUCAAUUGAUCCAUAACUUGAAGCAUGGGAGCCAAAAUUGCUCUAUCUAUGAAAAAAAUCUUCUUUGAAAUGCUCUGGCAAUUUAAAUUUAGCACUUUAGCAGC